rnacentral:lncRNA from 1 species
AUCGCGUGCGUGCUCACUCAGACACCAGUUUCAUUCGCGGUCUUAUCUCUGGCACUAGGUGUGCUGUUAUCACCCCCCGAUCUUAUCAAACUGACAUAAAACUAUUGUUAUCACUCUGCGGAGUUUAAUGCAUUCAUUCCUAUCACUCAUUAUUCAGCGAGAAAGCAAUUUUUCACCGCAGUUUGUAGUUUUUUCUGUGGUCUCCACAGCACCUCCUAUGUCCCAUAAACAGCGUUUCCUUUAGAUUUUUGUAGAGGCUGUUAGGAGGUCAUCGUACUUUCAACAUGAGCUGCGAUGAUAUAUUAAAAGUUAAAGAUGGUGCUCACUAUUGAUACUAACGAAGGCGCUCCAAUGAUGAGUGACUGCAGUCGGUCCCGUUACCUGAAAGGAAUGGACCUGUGUACUCGAAAUUACCCUAGAUGUUUUGAUCUUCCGCAAUCGUCACCCUCAGUCUAACUCCUCAGCCAUCCGACUCGGAAGGAGAUGAGAUGGAUGUUGACUACGGAAAAAAGCUUGCUCAACCAAUCAUGUCGGCGACCCCACCGCACUCACCGACCUCCUGCGAGGCCAAAGUGACGUCAGUGCCCGUUUCCGUCAUCAUGCGAGCCCACAAGGACGGGAGCUGCUCUCCAGAGCCCUCCUCGCCGGACCCGGAGCAGCAUUCGCCCCUCAACUGCAGCUACGCCUCCUCUUUCGCCUCCGGAGGGGGCCCUGAUUUCAGUCCCCGCUCCAGUCCGGGCCUCUUUAAGCCCGAGCCAAAUCAUCUGGAGAUCAACCCGCUCAAAAGCAUCCGUUACAAAAUGAACACCGGUAAAGAAGAGGUGAGCACUUUGAAAAAGUAGAUCCGCGCUCGUCUCAAAAGCGAUGAAACCUGCGUCAUACUUAAGCGAAGUUUUCAUUUAACCCCAAAGUCAAUGUAAAG